rnacentral:rRNA from 1 species
UGGGGAAUUUUGGACAAUGGGCGCAAGCCUGAUCCAGCCAUGCCGCGUGCAGGAUGAAGGCCUUCGGGUUGUAAACUGCUUUUGUACGGAACGAAAAGGUGCCUUCUAAUAAAGGGCGCUCAUGACGGUACCGUAAGAAUAAGCACCGGCUAACUACGUGCCAGCAGCCGCGGUAAUACGUAGGGUGCGAGCGUUAAUCGGAAUUACUGGGCGUAAAGCGUGCGCAGGCGGUUUUGUAAGACAGAGGUGAAAUCCCCGGGCUCAGCCUGGGAACUGCCUUUGUGACUGCAAGGCUGGAGUGCGGCAGAGGGGGAUGGAACUCCGCGUGUAGCAGUGAAAUGCGUAGAUAUGCGGAGGAACACCGAUGGCGAAGGCAAUCCCCUGGGCCUGCACUGACGCUCAUGCACGAAAGCGUGGGGAGCAAACA